AUGAACAUCGCCCUCCUGACCCGGUGGCUGUGGCGCAUCGCCAAUGGGGACAGAGGCCUGUGGCUCACCAUCAUCCGCAGCAAAUAUCUUCGUGGUCAGCCCCUAGCUUUCUGUCAACGGUCGGGCGGAUCCCAGUUCUGGCAGGCCGUCGUGCAGUUGCUCCCCGUGCUUCGUAUCGGCACGUCCAUCUCGGUUGGAACUGGGUCCGCGACCCUGUUCUGGUUCGAUCGGUGGCUCGGUGACACCCCUCUGGCCGCCCUCUUUCCUGCUCUCUUCGCCAUUGCUGUUGACCCUCGGGUCUCCGUUGAGACGGCCCUUAUUGACUUAGGGCGCCUCGCAUUCCGUCGCCCUUUCGGGCCCCUUGAAGUGGCCGCCUGGGAUUCUCUACUCCAGGACAUCGCCCUUCUCCCGAUGCGCGUUACUGACGCCCCGGACGCCUUCUCGUGGCGCCUAGAGGCCUCCGGCCGUUCCUCUACGAGAUCCCUCUAUGCGGCCAUCGCGCCUUCGCUCGCCCCCGAGCCCUUUGGGCUCAUUUGGGACAUCCGGUUGCCUCUGAAGAUUCGGAUAUUCCUUUGGCAGUGGAUUCGUGGCCGCCUCCCCUCGGGUGUCGAAGUCCUCAAGCGCAACGGACCCGGAGAUGGGCUCUGCCCUCUGUGCGGCACCGCGGAGGAUGCUAACCACAUCUUCUUCACGUGCCAUGCGGCACAGUUUCUCUGGUCCUGCUUCCGCGAGACGGUUGGUGGACAAUGGUGCAACUCCAACUUCCCCGACCUCCUUGCGGAAAUCCACAACUCCCCUCCCCGCCACCGCCACAUUCGCUGGCUCUGUGUUGGAGUUCUCGCAUGGACGCUUUGGACCGUUCGCAAUAAGCUCGUCAUCCAGAAAAUCCCUCUUCGUCGCGCUACUGACGCCAUUUUUAAAAUGUGUGGGUACUUGCAGCUUUGGCGGCCGCUUAGCCGCCCUCAGGACCGGGACGUCAUCAACACCCUCCUCGCCGACCUUCGAUCGCUCGCCUUCCGCCUGGCGCCUCCACUUCCGCCGCCACCGCCGGAGCCUGACUAG
rnacentral:rRNA from 1 species